rnacentral:rRNA from 1 species
AAGCUCGUAGUUGAAUUUCGGGAUUGACGUGACGGUCGUGCCUUAAGGGGUAUGAACUGUUACAGUCAAUUUCUCACCUUCUGGAGAAAUAUGAUGUCCUUAAUUGGGUGUCAUAUGGAACCAGAACUUUUACCUUGAAAAAAUUAGAGUGUUUAAAGCAAGCUUAUUGCUCGAAUACAUUAGCAUGGAAUAAUAAAAUAGGACGGCAUGAUUCUAUUUUGUUGGUUUCUAGGAUCACCGUAAUGAUUAAUAGGGAUAGUUGGG